CGGACCUCGCCUUUCCCACUUGGUUAGAGUCGGCUCUGCCGGGAGAAAGCGAUUCCAGAAUUCCCUAAGUUAAAGGAAUUUCUUACUCCUUCUUGAGCGCCAUCCAAGGGCCAGGCCUUAGUCUAGGAACUGGCAACACCGUGGCGACCACGUCAGACAAGAUCGCUGCCCUCAUUGAGUUCCCAGGUUGGCAGGGGAAACAAAAAUGUAAUAAAUAACUGCACUUUGCAAGAAGAGCUAUGAAGAAAAAACAGGGUGAUGGGAGAGAGAAUGCUUGGAUGUUGAAGGGAGGCCUUUCUGAGAUGGCGACAUCUUGAGCUGAAUAAAGAAGGAUGAGAAAGGAUGGGGCUUGCAAAGUUCUGGCUUCAAAGAAUUCCAGGCAGAGGGAACAAGAGUGAAGUCUCCAGGGGAAGCCAGCUUAGUGUUUGGAGACUAGAAAGAAGGGGUGUGCGGCUGGAAGAUGCUGGAGGUAGAGGACGGAAACUCAAAAGAUGAUUGAAGAUUAAAAAACAAGAUGAUUGAGGCUGGACUUCUCAAAACCUUGCUGCAGCCUGAGCUUGAGCGUUUGUGAGCUUUGCAGCCAGAUAUGAACAGAAGACAGAUUCAUUUCCUGCUGCCUGCUUCUCCAACCCCAAAUCUCCCAGUUUGAUCCGAGAGCCCUGAAGAUUUGCCUUCACCCGGCGCCCCCCAGAUGCUUCUUUUUAAGCCUUGCUUGUAAAUAGGUGUCAGUAAGGGUCUCACCAUGCAGGAUGUGGGCGUGUGGGUGCUCCAGAUCCCCACACCGGCUGUCACCAUCCCCCUGCUGUUGCCAGUGCAUCCCUUGAGGAUGCCUGGCAGGUUACACCCCACCCCGGGGGCAAAUGGUGACUGACAACAGAACAAGUGCUCACCUGCUUGCCCCACAGCAGGACAGUUCAGUGGGAGGAAUUUGUUCUAGAGCACCCUGGAUCAGGCCAAGGCUUUCCCCUUCCAUAUUCGGCUUCUUUUGCUCCUCUAAUAAGUCACGCAUGUGGAGCCC
rnacentral:lncRNA from 10 species